UGGAAUGAUGGGGACUUUGAGAGAUUUGUAACUGAAGCUGCCUUCAUGCUUGUUAGAAUGGUGGGGUGGAAGAGUUCCCAGUUUUGAAGGAGAAGUACAAGAAGACCCGUAAUGGUUAGCAAGAUAUACAGAACACAGUGGACAUAGCAGCACACUUCUCAAGUCAGCUCCAGGUUCAAGCUCAAAGGCCUAAAGUUUUCCAAACAUCUGAAGAAGAAGAAGAUUUUUGAGACUGUCCCAGCCUAUUACAUAAAGGAAACAUAACCAAGAAUUUUGUCUAAAGGUUUUUAUUUGAAACAAAUAUUUGCACCAAGCAAGAGCUUCUUUUCCCCACUCCAAAUUAAAACACAGCGCAACAGGGGCCACAUUUAUUUGGCAGGACAGUUCCAAUAUGUGAACAUCCUCCUCCUCACUGCCAUUGGGGUGACUUGACUCAUAAGCAGCUGUUCUUACACAAAAUAUUAACCCGAACUGCUAGUGUCACACAAAAAGAAGUGGUCUUGACUGUGUAUGUGGGCCAGCAUGUUCUACAAAUGCUGAAAGGUGGGAGAAGCACAAAUACAACCCACUCUUUAAAAAAA
rnacentral:lncRNA from 1 species